rnacentral:rRNA from 1 species
CCUACGGGUGGCAGCAGUGGGGAAUAUUGGGCAAUGGACGCAAGUCUGACCCAGCAACGCCGCGUGAAGGAAGAAGGCUUUCGGGUUGUAAACUUCUUUUUAGGGGGAAGAGACGAAGACGGUACCCCUUGAAUAAGCCACGGCUAAGUACGUGCCAGCAGCCGCGGUAAUACGUAGGUGGCAAGGUUGUUUCGGAUGUUCUGGGUGUAAAGGGCGUGCAGCGGGAGAGACAAGUCAGAUGCGAAAUCUACGGGCUCAACCCGUGAACUGCAUUUGAAACUGUUUCCCUUGAGUGUAGGAGAGGUAAUCGGAAUUCCUGGUGUAGCGGUGAAAUGCGUAGAUAUUAGGAAGAACACCGGUGGCGAAGGCGGAAUACUGGACGAUAACUGACGGUGAGGCGCGAAAGCGUGGGGAGCGAACAGGAUUAGAUACCCGAGUAGUC